rnacentral:lncRNA from 1 species
UGCAGGUCUGCUGCAGUUUGCUGGAGGUCCACUCCAGACCCUGUUUGCCUGUGUAUCACCAGCGGAGGCUGCAGAACAGCAAAGGUUGCUGCCUCUCCUUCUUCUGGCAGCUUCAUCCCAGAGGGGCACCGGCUUGAUGCCAGCUGGAGCUCUCCUGUAUGAGGUGUCUGUCAACCCCUGUUGGGAGGUCUCUCCCAGUCAGGAGGCACGGGGGUCAGGGACCCACUUGAGGAGGCAGUCUGUCCCUUAGCAGAGCUCAAGCGCUGUGCUGGGAGAAUGCUCCUUGUCAGGAUCUGCUGCACUCUUCAGAGCUGGCAGGCAGGAAUAUUUAAGUCUGCUGAAGCUGUGCCCACAGCCUCCCCUUCCCCCAGGUGCUCUGUCCCAGGGAGAUGGGAGUUUUAUCUAUAAGCCCCUGAUGGGGCUGCUGCCUUUCUUUCAGAGAUUCCCUGCCCAGUGAGGAGGAAUCUAGAGAGGCAGUCUGGCCACAGCCGCUUUGCCACACUGUGGUGCGUUUGGCCCAAUCUAAACUUCCCAGCCUCCUUAGCACUGUCAGGGGAAAACCGCCUACUCAAGCCUCAGUAAUGGUGGAUGCCCCCCCUACACCAAGCUUGAUCAUCCCAGGUUGACAUCAGACUGCUGGACUGGCAGUGAGAAUUCCAAGCCAGUGGUUCUUAGCUUGCUGGGCUCUGUGGGAGUGGGACCCGCUGAGUGAGAACACUUGGCUCCCUGGUUUCCGCCCUCUUUCCAGGUUUAAAUACACAUUGUAGUAGAUUGAAUUGUGUUUCCCUAAAAGAUGUGUCCAAGCUAUAACUCCUAGUACCUGUGAAUGUGGCCUUAUUUGGAAAAAAGGUCUUUGAAGAUAUAAUUAAGGAAGGGAUCUCGAAAUGAACUCAUCCUGGAUUAGAGUGGGCUGUAAAUCCAACGACAGAUGUUCUUAUGAAACAAAAGAAGAAGACACAGGGACACACAGGAGAGAAUGUCAUGUAAAGAUGGAGGCAGAGACUGGAGUGGUGUCUAUAAGCCAAAGAAUGUGAAGGAUUUCCUCUAGCCAUCAGAAGCUAGGAGAGAGGCAUGGAAUGAAUUCCAUCAGAAACUCCAAAGUAACAAACCCUGCUGACACCCUGAUUUCAGACUUUUGGUCUCUAUAACUGUGAGAGAAUAAAUUUUUGUUGUUUUAAGCCACACAGUGGUAAUUUGUUAUAGGAAUCCUAGGAAACUAAUAUAUACAUAUAAGGUUGAUUUCUGUAAAUGAAAUGACAGGGAGUAUAUGGGAACUUUCUAUUCUUUCUCAGUUUUGCUGUGAACUUAAAACUUCUCUUAAAAAAUAAAGUUUUUUAAUGGUUAAAAGUC